GACUGCUGGCUGAAGCUGUUGCUUCCACAGGACCCGCUCGGCUCUCCUUGCUCAGGAGGUGGACUGGAUUUCUGAGAUGGGACUUGGAUGCAACUGUCAGCAAAGCUGUGGUCAUUCGUGGAAGCACGGUUGGAAGAGUGCCCUAAAAAGAAGGUGACUUGCCUCAACAUUUCAGUCGGGAGUUGUGAAUGGACAGAGUUAUGAAACUGUCCUCCGUGCCUUAAGCUAGGAGUAUCAAGAGAGGAGCGAGAGGAGCAGCUCGGAGGCGAGAGAGAGGGGGGAACGCCGAUACUCUUUCGGGUCAGGAAGAAAACGCGCGGCAUGCCACGCCGAUUUCCAGGAACGCGGCCGCGGGCACCGCUGACCCCGGCCCGGUCCCACCCAGCGGGACUGCUGCCGCGGGAGCGCUUCCGAUCCCCGUGAAGGCGCGCUCCCCACCGCGCCGAGCAGAGCGGCUAUCGCACCCCAGACGCCUCCCCGCCAGACCCCGCAGGGUCACCGCAGGUUUGGGAGCUGGCAUUUCUUUGUGGAAACGUCUUCUCUUCCUCCCGGGAUCUGCUGAGUGUCUUUACACGCUCGGGGCAGAGC